rnacentral:rRNA from 1 species
AUUGAACGCUGGCGGAAUGCUUUACACAUGCAAGUCGAACGGCAGCACGGGGCAACCUGGUGGCGAGUGGCGAACGGGUGAGUAAUAUAUCGGAACGUGCCCAAUCGUGGGGGAUAACGUAGCGAAAGUUACGCUAAUACCGCAUACGAUCUACGGAUGAAAGCGGGGGAUCGCAAGACCUCGCGCGAAUGGAGCGGCCGAUAUCAGAUUAGGUAGUUGGUGGGGUAAAGGCUCACCAAGCCAACGAUCUGUAGCUGGUCUGAGAGGACGACCAGCCACACUGGAACUGAGACACGGUCCAGACUCCUACGGGAGGCAGCAGUGGGGAAUUUUGGACAAUGGGCGCAAGCCUGAUCCAGCCAUUCCGCGUGCAGGAUGAAGGCCUUCGGGUUGUAAACUGCUUUUGUUACGGAACGAAACGGUCUGCCCUAAUACGGCAGGCUAAUGACGUACCGUAAGAAUAAGACACCGGCUAACUACGUGCCAGCAGCCGCGGAAU